rfam:Rattus norvegicus chromosome 4, whole genome shotgun sequence.
GGGGAUUUGGCUCAGUGGUAGAGCGCUUGCCUAGCAAGCGCAAGGCCCUGGGUUCGAUCCCCAACUCCG